UUUAUACAAAUUUACACACAAAAAAUAUAUAAAAUCUACAUACAUAAAGAAAAUAAAAUUACAUAUUCCUUUAACAAAUUAAACCGACAAUGAAUUUAGUUUAUGGGGCUACAUGACACUCCUCGUGUUCUUCAUUCCAUCAUCGCCAAAACCACUGAUCCUCUAGUCCUUCUUCAAUCAAUCAACCACAAACCAAUCUAAAACAUGCUAUAAAUCUGAUUCACAUACAUACAUCGAUACACACCUUUUUAAUUCAAUUCAAUAUCUUAAUUUUUAUAAAAUCUCGGUCCAUCAACGGAACUCGAACCAGAUCUUGAGCGAAACGUAACCCGAAUCAUAGUCGGCGCCAGGUAACACCGCCGCCAUUGUUGACCGGAUUACUUGUCGGAGCCAGGUAACACCGCCGCCAUUGUCGGCGCUUCUGGUCGUCGGUCCGACUGCCAUCGUUGACUGCUUCACAUUAAAAGAACUAUUGCCGUCGGUCCGACUGCCGUCGCCACUAUCGGAGCCAGGUAACACCUCACCAAAGUUUUGUUGAUGGCUUCACAUUAAUUUCCUCCAACCAAAGAUUUGAAUUUGGCUUCUUCAGUCUUGGCAAUAGUUCGUCUCACAAUCUUUAUCUGGGAAUUUGGUUUGAAUUUGGAGAAAUAUCUUUAAAAGAAAAUGGAACUGGUCGAGAGAAAAGGGGGCAGGGGGGUUUGUGGUGAGCAAUGGACCGUAGGAUGGUGA
rnacentral:lncRNA from 1 species